GAAGAAGAAGAAAGAGGAAGGGCUUUCACCAGGAGACAUAAGAGGAGACAAAUGUGACUCUGGGUCUGAAGCAGGUCAAAGCUCCACUUGUAAGAAUUGUAAAACAACAACUUGCAGAAGAAAAGAAGACAUCUUCUAAACCUUGACUUGAAGUUGAUUUCUUAGAUCCCCUGUUUGAGGGACCAAAGGAAGCAGUGUCCGACCCACAUCUCUUCUGGACACACUUGGGGAAUAUGCCUCCCCUCUCCAGCCCACCUCAAAGCAAGCUAAUAUCAGAUCAAUCCUGAAGGGUUUGGCAACAACAAAAGGUGUUGACGCCCCCCAAUGAAAGGGCUACUUAGUCCAGGCUGAGCCCACUGGACUCUGUUUGUCCCCAUGCCAUGCCAGGGGAGGCCAUUCAAGCAAACCCUUUCUAUGUCCCCAGCAAAAGGGGAGGGAAAGCCCAGGAGGAAAAGGCCCCUGUUUAGACAUCCACAAUCCUUCAUCCCAAAGGAAACUAUUUCAGGGCAGAGCAUUCAGAGGAGCCUUUUAUAAAGCAGGAGAUGCUGAAAUUCCUCCUUUCUAUGUUUGUUGCCGCAGAGGCUGGCCUCUGGCUCAAACUCCUUGGGCCGUUUGUGUUAACAGUAGUGGUUGGGUACCUCUCUCAGAGAGUGUGGCGACUGGUGGUCAGCAGUGGCCGGAAACUCAAAGGGGGAGCUGAAGCUGUUUCUUACAGCUCAGCGAUCUGUUCAUCUUCCAGCAGCUAAGAGGGGAAGGAACAAGCUAGAAUUUUUAUUUCUUAAAGAUUUAUUUUAUUUCCUAAAGAUCAGGAAACUUUUCAACCAUGCAGAUUCCUUAUUGGUCAAACAAUGUCCUUUUUUUUUUUUUUAAGGUGUGGUCAUAAUUUCAUUUUCAUUUCUCUUGGUGGAGAAAACAUGCAAUGUCAGAGGGCUGUCAUAAGUUACCUAACUUUUAUCAUAAAUAUGCAUGACCUCUUAACAGCACCCCCAGACUCAUUCGGAAAAUGUAGGCAGCCAGUGUUGUCCAUUCACCGCCCUCCCUGAAAUGUCCUGCCCAGGCCUUGUUCUGUUCCCUCUGUUCUCCCUAGUGACUGAGUAUUAUGGACUGCCCAAGAUCCUGAGCCCACACAUCCCACCCAGCCCAGUUCUCAGUGCAGGCAGGGGAAUCCGGGGAAGUGGGGGAGCCAGCACAAUAGCUCCCCUGCCAACCAUAUUCCCUACCUCUUUCCAAGCAACAGACACAAGAACAAAAGACUCGAAAGCAACAGGAGCUCCUUCCUUGGAGGUUCAAAGGACCCUUUCCCAGAGGUUGCAUAUCAGAUAGCCUGCAUAUCGGAUAUCUCCAUUAUGAUUCA